GAGGUGGUGGCUCAGGAGUUAUGGCUUUGGGCUGUUGAGCAGAAGGUUGUGAGUUCAAAUCUCAGCAACUGCU